UCAAUGCCCUUCGCAGGUUUUUUGCGAUCCGCGGCCCUGCAAAACAACUACAUUCUGACUGUGGAACUAAUUUCAUUGGCGCUUGCAACGAGCUUGAAUUCCACAAAGUGAUUAAGGAAACCAAGGUGCAAAGAUACAUCAAUGACGAAGGAUGCACAUGGGUUUUCAACCCACCACACUCCUCCCAUAUGGGAGGCGUAUGGGAGCGUAUGAUUGGUCUGGCUCGUAGAAUUCUUGACUCAAUGCUGAUGCGGGAAGGACACUCCAACCUCUCUGAUGAAGUGCUUUGUACACUUAUGGCAGAAGUGACGGCCAUUAUUAACAGUAGACCUCUAGUACCUGUUUCUAUGGACGCAGACUCACCCUUGAUACUUACCCCUGCAAUGCUCCUAACACAAAAGGCAGGUUCUCCACCUCCAGCAGGAAACUUCUCCGAAAAGGACAUCUACAAACGCCAAUGGCGGCAAGUACAGAGCCUAGCCAACCAGUUCUGGUGUCGCUGGAAACAGGAAUAUCUGCAAACACUGCAAGUUCGUCACAAAUGGCAGGAUCCAUACCCAAACAUCCAGGAGGGCGACAUAGUACUACUUAAGGACAAUCAAGUAGCCCGAAAUGAAUGGCCUAUGGCACUCGUCACAAGUGUUUUCCCUGGUCAAGAUGGCAAGGUUCGAAAAGUUGAACUUAAAGUAACUAAAGGAGGAUCCAGCAAAACUUUCUUGAGGCCUAUAUCUGAAAUCAUUCUCCUGCUUAGAAAAUAAGAAAAACACCUUUAAACAGAUAAUUAUAGAUGACAUCUUUAUAGAUGUCAUGCGGGGAGUGUUAUGUUAAUUGGACUAAGCAUUUUAGGUUUUUUAUUUGGGACUCUAAUUUUGAAAAAUUACCUGACUGAGCAGGGAGCAGCCAUUUUAGUUUCAGUUUCGCUCAACUCUCUCAAGCAUUAAGCUCCAUGUGACUGCUGCUCCAGUUUUCUUUAAUGUUCAUGCCUUCGAAAGCAUUGUCAUUUCACUCUUCUUUGAAUCAUAUUGGAGUAAACAUCAGGAGUUUUUCUUGGAAAACU